rnacentral:rRNA from 1 species
UCGUAGUUGAAUUUGUGUCUUGCGCUGUCGGUUCAUCGCUUGAAUGCGGUGUUUAACUGGCAUGUUGUGAGACGUCUUGCCGGAAGGGCAUGGUAUAUAUUUUAUUAUGUUAUUUUAAUUAAUGUAUAUGUUGUGUUAAAAAUAUUAAUAUAAUGUAUUGUUGAGUGGUUGUGUAAAAACUCCGCUCACUUACAUUUUUAUUAUAUUAUAUAAGCUCAUAUAUCAUUAUUAAGAUACUAAUAAUAAUGUAUACGUAGUCCGACUUAUUUAAUCCUGUCUAGGUGCUCUUAAUUGAGUGUCGUGGCGGGCCGGCACGUUUACUUUGAACAAAUUAGAGUGCUUAAAGCAGGCUUAUGUUGCCUGAAUAUAGUGUGCAUGGAAUAAUGAAACAGGACCUCGGUUCUAUUUUGUUGGUUUUCUGAACUAACGAGGUAAUGAUUAAUAGGGACAGAUGGGGGCAUUCGUAUUGCGACGUUAGAGGUGAAAUUCUUGGAUCG